ensembl:lncRNA
UAUAGAGCGUGGCCGAUCCCAUAGCGCUCAAAGCACCAUGAAUUGGGGCCGGGCAGGAUUUUGGGGUCCUCCGGGCCCCCCCCUCCCCCCUUCAAUCGCAGCCCCACUGCUGGGGGGGGCGCUGGGCUGCUCCAUGCUGCUGUGGGCGGGGCUGCUGCUGGCGCUGCUCAGCCUCGACGUGGAAAUCUCGCGAGAUCUGGCGCAGCUGCGGGACCGCCAGGAGGAGCUGCGGGGGGGCGGGCGGCGCACAGCGGUGACGGCGCAGCGCUUCGGGGCCGACGUGGGGCAGCUGCGGCUCGAAGGCAGGCGGUUGGCGCUGGAGGCGGCGGCGCAGGAGGCGGAGCUGCGGGCGGAGCUCUCCCGCGUGGGAGCGGCGGAGGGGGCGGGGCUUCCGGCGACCACGCCCCACAUCUGACCACGCCCCCACCCACUCCAUCAUUUGCAUUAAAGGCGCCGCGGCCCCCCAAUGU